ACCACCAUGGUGACUUGUAAGCAACACAUUGUACUUUAGUAUCAAACUAUCUAAAUUUUUAAUUUAGCAACACAUUGUACUGGAUGCAGUCAAGUACUUAUCAAGUCUGUGUGUCAGUCAAAAUAAAAUUGAUCCCUCUGAAUUAGUAGAAGAUAUGCAUCAGCGUAUUUUAAUUCAAUAAAAUCUUGAUCAGGAUAAUCUAUGAGAUAGAUUUGAAAGAUUGAAAUAUAAUGUGGUCGACUAAAUUAAGAUUGACAGUUAAACCCUUGGUCGCCU
rnacentral:lncRNA from 1 species